GUCACAGUCAGCAUAUGAUUGUCGUAUAUUGACUUUAAGUAUUCAAUAUCCCUUCAGUCAGCAAUAAUCAUGUUAUAAACCUUAUAAAAGCAUAAAAUACAUAUAAACAAGUUAACUAUUUAAUAUUCUUACAUUCCCCUCUUUGAGCAAUAAAACAAUUGCUCAUCUUAUCGAUAAAAUCUUACCAGGACAGAGAAACUUCCACAUGGUAUUUUCAGGGGUGCUAGUCACUCCCUGCGGGACUUUCAUUAAUUUCUUCACCUCGAUUCCCAUGUGGUAAUUCCUAAGGCUCAGUUUAAAGAUGGGUUGAUACUCUACAGUGGCAGAGAGGAGAAUUUUUAAUUGUUUCUGUUCUGCAUUAUGGAUUCAUUUCUGUACUCUCUUCCUCAAUGUACAAGUAAGGUGACAGUUAUAUAAAAUCAUACACAAUAAAAUCAGGACUAUAAUAACAAAAGGAUAGAAGAAUGAUUUCAUUAUCUGGGAUCCAGUAGGGGACCAACCAGUAAAGCAUUGUACCAAUGAUGGGCUGAAUCAUUCUGAAUUUGUGAACUCACCUUAAGGAGUUCUCCUUUUAGGAUAUGUGUGGCUACCUGUGUAUGUUAUCUUUGGGAAAAAUAUAGUCCCCUGUGUAUGUGGGUGCCCACCAGGUUAAAUUCUUGGCAAAAAGAUCAUAAACUGGUACUGGUAAUGUGUUAAAUUGACAAGCUAAUUUAACAUCCUUUGAUGAUGUAUGAUAUAAUGUAAAAUAGCAUGAGCAUGAAAAAUGUGAAACAUUACCAGUUAACCAUCCAUUGCAUUUACUGGAUUGGGGUUUUAGAAGUAACCAUUCAUUAUCUGUGAGGUUACGCUUUCCUCUAAUCUUCUCUAGUUUAGGAAUCAUUAGUGUGUUUUCUAAUGCCAAUCCUUGUUGUUGUAUCCAUAAAUACCUGAUGGCACAAGUACUCCAGUUACUUAGACCUGUAGUGAAUUUCAUAGUUGCAACAGUUAAAUUAUCUAAAUAAUUAUACAUUGAUUUAUCUAAAUCCAAUCCUAUAACCUGUGAUUUAACAACAAUUGGAGCCCAAUUUGCAGUAGCAUGAAAACCAGUCCCUAUAUGCAUGCUGGCUGUGUUUAACUUAUUCUUGAGGGUCUCCAUAUCUAUAACUAUUUAGUAUACCCAUAGUGGUUCCAGCACCUCCUAACAGUGUGUCAUACCAUUCCCUUUUCUGCCUUUGUUUGUUGUAUUACAUAAUGUUACAACAAGAGUAGUGACUUUUAAUGACACAUGUACAGCUUGUAAGAAGGCAGUUGUAUUAACACAUGUGGACGGAAUAGGUGUGUGUGUGUCGUUGUUGACUUUUGGUUCUAUGGUAGAGGAUAAAGGACAGUAAUAAGGUGUAAAAAUAUAAGGUAGUGUAUAGUUCUCAAUUGUAGUGUCGUUCAUAAUGACUAACAUUUGUCCCCUUCUCCAAUUAAUGAUACCAGUUAUAUAAUCAUUAUUAAAAGUAAUAAGGCCUGUCUGUUUACAUUGAUAUGCAACCUUAACUGUGCACAUUUCUGCGUUAUAAGAUCUAACAAUUUUCUGUGAACCUUUAAACAAACAUAAUGCAUCGGUUUCAUUAGCUGUAGACACAUUUCAUAUGGGUAACUGGUACUUAUAAGGGUUACUAUUUGUCCAAUUCAUCCAAAUGCGUUCAGUAAAUGAAUGAUUGCAUAUUGCAUGCUGAUAGAAAGGUGGUGGAGAAAGGUUCUUGAGGGGGCGUGUGUGACGAAUGCUAGAUGAGGGGCUAAGGCCUAAUUGGGCUGGGGGUAUUGAAGAAUUGUUCAUCAUGUCAGAGUCUUUUUCCAGAACUUGCCAUUGACUUGUACUCAUAAUGGCAUUCAAGGAACAAUAUCAGAGGGAGUAUAACAACUCCAGAAAGCAUAGCGCACAACAUAAUCUUGGUCUCAGGUACGUAUGAUCCUCUCAAUCUACGAUAUGGUGUAAAAACCAUGAUGCUUCGCUGAGGAGAAAUUCUUCUGUUUCCGAGCGAGGAGUGGUGUUGUCUUCCUUGGUUCCCCUCUUUGGACACAGCUUCACUCGGGAUGCGUGAAUCCAGAUGUCAUGGGAAUCUGUGGACAGCGGUUCUGGGUACAGCAAUCACAGUAGCAGGUGGUCCAAAAGGGUAUCCUCCUUUCUUGGUCCUGUUCAACUGACGGAUAUACACCUUGUCACCGGGCUGGUAUGAAUGAGUAGGUUCCUGUGAAGGUAAGGGAAAACUGCGAAGAAACAUUGUCAUACAUACCAUUCGGUUUUAUCAACAAUUCACCUUGUGGGGAUUCAUUCUUAUCUCAGCUAAAAUAGCUGGUAGAUAUCUUGUCCAAUUUACCCAUGUUCCUGGGUAAAUUCUGGGCUUUUCCUUAAUAGUCCUAUUCAUCCUUUCAACUACCCCUGUAUUCUGUGGAUGAUAGGGUAUAUGAAACUACCAGGUAACUUGCAAGAAUUUAGCAAGUUCCUGGGCAACCCCACUUGCAAAAACCGGGCCAUUAUCAGAGCCAAUCUGCAGAGGGCAGCAAUACCGGGGAAUAAUUUCAGUAACAAUAAUCUUCACUAGCAUCUUCCCUAGAUGUCACAAAGGCCUCAUGCCAUCUACUAAACUGAUCAACUAUGACCAGUAAGUAUUGCUGUUUCUUACCAAUUUUGGAUACAUGAAUAAAAUCAAUCUGUAAGUGUGUAAAAAAGAGCAGCGUUCACACGAUCUUACAAAAGACUGUACAUGCUGCCUGAGAUUCCUAAUAUAAAAUGAAUUCAUGAGGAAUUGAAUGGUGCUUGCUAUGUGCCUGACUGAUGAAAAUAAAGCAGCUUGCUUCAAGUAUGCCUAUUCUUCAAGUAUGCCUAUUCUCCCCUCUUUAGAGAACAGAUCAUUCUGAUCUUUCUCUAAACCUUGUUUAAUCCAAAAGACAGAUUCUGGGUAUUAAAAAAAAGAAUCUCAUAACCACUGAAGCGCUGGGCUGUCAUGUGUUGUGUGGUGAGAUUUGUCAGCUGAGUGACCUGGUGACUGGCAUGAAGUAUUGUAGGAUGCCCUAGUGUGAUAGUAGUAGCAGUUUCAACAGCCAUUGCACAUGCUAUCAAUGCUCUGAGACACGCCGGCAUACCCUGUACCGGAGCUCGAACUACUUUGGAAAAGAAUGCUAUGGGACGCAUACCGCCUCCUUGCUCUUGUGCACAGACCGCGGCCAUGGUUUUACAGUUGUCCCGAGCAUACAAAUGAAAUGGUUUACAAUACACAGGUAGUCCUAAAGCCUGGGCUUGCACAAUAACAACUGUAAGGGUAAUAUAUGCAGCUAGCAUGUCUGGUGACCAGCAGACAUUUUCAGGGCUGUCAGAACGUACAGCCUCCCUUAGGAUUGAGUCAUAAUGGGAGCAUUCAGGGAUCCAUGGUGGCAGUAAUUAAUCAUGCCGAGGAAGGUGAGCAACUCCUUCCGAGUAGUGGGUGUAGGAAUCCUCUGAAUGACCUCAAUACGUUUUGGACUCAAUUGUCUGGUGCCUAAAGCCAGAACAAAACCUAAGUAUUCAACCUUUGAUUUACACAAUUGCAUUUUGUGUUUAACAACCUUGUGACCCACAGUUGCUGACAGUAUCCACAGUGCUUGCCUCAUAGCUAGGGCUACAUAACAACAAAUCAUCAACAUUUUGCAAAAAGGACGGAACCAUGACCGGUGGUCCAUGUUUUUUAGAGUAUGUUGGAGUACCAACGAAUAAACAGCUGGGGAAUCCACAUAGCCUUGGGUAAGCGUGUCCAGGUAAACUGACAGCCUUCAAAAGUAAAAACCAUAAGUAGCUGUGUCUCUUGAUCAAUAGGUAUAGAAAAAAUGCAUUACUUAAAUCAAUGACAGUGAAGCAAGUGGCAUCAUGUGGAAUGGCUGUAAUGAGGGAUGUCACAUCAGGGACAAUGGGUGAAAUGGGCACAAUUAAACUAUUCAGGGCUCUAAAGUCCUGAACUAAGCGAUAUGCUGGCCAGUGGUGUUGGGAGUGGAUCUGUAGUUGUUCUUGCCUACAGGGCAUAUUUUGAGAAUUGUGGGGUUGUUGGGGUGUGUGGGGUUUCCUGGGGUGUGGACACUCAUUCCUCCAGUGGCCAUAUUGUCCACAGUUGAAACAAGUGUUCCUGUCUAUUCCUCCUUGGUUACCCCUGCCCCUAUAACCCUGAUUUCCCUGUCUCCAUCCCCUUGCCCCUCUUUGACCACCCCUUCCACGGGCUUUAUGUGCUCCAUCCCAUCCUUGCUCUCAUCCUGUGUAGCUGGACAUAAUAUGUUGCAAUCCCUGAGCAUAAUAAGCAACCUUACUUUCCUAAAUCUUUUCUUAAUUCAAAACAACCUGCAUUUUCCUUUUCUAUAACCUUGGUAAGAAAAUCUGAGCUAUCCAAAUUGGCCCAGUCUGAAAUCAAUUGUUUCACAAGCAAAAAAUACUGUGGCAACAUAUUACCAAGGCAUGACUGUAUUUUAAAGAGAUCUAUAUCAUCUCCAGACAUCAAACCUGCCUCAUCCUUCCAACACUUGUAAAAUUUCUUUACAAAAAUCAUAUUACCAAUCUCUUCCUUUGCAUCUUGCUUAUAUGCCAAAGCAGUGAAUAUAGACUGCUUAUUCUUCCAUAAUCCCAACAUUUCAGCUUCCACCUUGUUCCAAAUUUUAGCACAUCUUACUGAAGUACUAAGCUCAUAAUCACCAAUUCAUUUCAAACCAUAUAACUCAUACUCAGCAUCCAAUGUAAUAUUACACGUCAUCUCACAAAACAAUAUCUUUGUAGAAACACAUAAUGGGUACCCAGCAGAUAUGCCAAUACAGAAAUCACAUUUAUGGGCACACAACUACACACUCUGUCUCCCUCCUAGGAAACACGGGUAGACACAAUAUAAAAGCAAUCUUAAACUAACACCUCCAAAUCUCCAACUAUUCUUGGCCAAAACGCUAGUAUUCAACAACUAAUAAAACAGUUAUUUGCUAGGUUAUUUGGCUGUCAUUCUUAUCAGUAUCACUAGACUGUGACAAACUGAUUCACAUAUAAUUUAAAACAAUACAGCAACAUAUAAAUUAAACCACUUUCAAGUUAAACUGCACACUUAUCACACAUUAUCACAAUCACCAUUUACACAGAAUAAACAGUUAACAGCUGUAUUCAGAACAUAUUAUUGGAAAGUAUAACAAUUUUAGUUUAGAUUUAUUUUAGGGAUUCUUAUGUAUACAUUUUCUUAAUUAACUUCAUUACUUUAAUCUACUAUAGUAUUGUAUUUAAAGAAAGGAUCCAUUUAUAUAGCGCGCUCAUAACUCAAAUAUUUGUAUAAAACUUCCAUUAAUUAAUCUGAGAUGAUGCUGCAUCAAUUUAAAUCUUACAGAAAUUGAACAAACAUCUGGACCAGAUUAAACAGACAUGGUUUCACCUGAAUCUUUCAGAACUCUCAGAGACUUAAAAAAUUUAUACUAUACCAUGUUCUAAGGCAUGGCAAACCUUUAGACCGGUCAGUCUCCAAGAGCCCUUAGUAACACAGGUAAAAACCUUUGUCCAUGAUGUCUGAUUCAGGCUAUAUACCACAAUUUAAAAUAACACAUAAUGUGAGACAUAGAAGACACAAGCAGUAGUUAUUACACUGGAUCAUUUAAAAGGAACCUGUUGCAAUAAAAAGGUUAGUUUACAGUGCAAAAUAAAGCAUGUGUUGGACCGCUGAAAAUGUAAAUGUUGCUCUCUUAUUUUCAAACAAAAAUCAUAUUUAC